GAUGAACGCUGGCGGCGUGCUUAACACAUGCAAGUCGAACGGAAAGGCUCCUGCUUGCAGGGGUACUCGAGUGGCGAACGGGUGAGUAACACGUGGGUGAUCUGCCCUGCACUUCGGGAUAAGCCUGGGAAACUGGGUCUAAUACCGGAUAGGACGAUGGUUUGGAUGCCAUUGUGGAAAGUUUUUCGGUGUGGGAUGAGCUCGCGGCCUAUCAGCUUGUUGGUGGGGUAAUGGCCUACCAAGGCGUCGACGGGUAGCCGGCCUGAGAGGGUGUACGGCCACAUUGGGACUGAGAUACGGCCCAGGCUCCUACGGGAGGCAGCAGUGGGGAAUAUUGCACAAUGGGCGCAAGCCUGAUGCAGCGACGCCGCGUGGGGGAUGACGGCCUUCGGGUUGUAAACUCCUUUCGCUAGGGACGAAGCGUUUUGUGACGGUACCUGGAGAAGAAGCACCGGCUAACUACGUG
rnacentral:rRNA from 1 species